AUCCUGGCUCAGAUUGAACGCUGGCGGCAGGCCUAACACAUGCAAGUCGAGCGGUAGAGAGAAGCUUGCUUCUCUUGAGAGCGGCGGACGGGUGAGUAAUGCCUAGGAAUCUGCCUGGUAGUGGGGGAUAACGUUCGGAAACGGACGCUAAUACCGCAUACGUCCUACGGGAGAAAGCAGGGGACCUUCGGGCCUUGCGCUAUCAGAUGAGCCUAGGUCGGAUUAGCUAGUUGGUGGGGUAAAGGCUCACCAAGGCGACGAUCCGUAACUGGGUCUGAGAGGAUGAUCAGUCACACUGGAACUGAGACACGGUCCAGACUCCUACGGGAGGCAGCAGUGGGGAAUAUUGGACAAUGGGCGAAAGCCUGAUCCAGCCAUGCCGCGUGUGUGAAGAAGGUCUUCGGAUUGUAAAGCACUUUAAGUUGGGAGGAAGGGCAGUAACUUAAUACGUUGCUGUUUUGACGUUACCGACAGAAUAAGCACCGGCUAACUCUGUG
rnacentral:rRNA from 1 species